AUGAUGCAAUAGGCCCUGCAGGCAUGUGUUGGAAGGGCCUAAGCGAGAGAGUGUGCGCACGAGAGAGAGCACAGGCGCGGCAAGGAAAGGCCUAUGUGGAGGAAAGAAACAAAAGAAACACACGGGUUGCAUUGGAAGCAGUUUAUG
ensembl:ncRNA F44E7.13 ncRNA